rnacentral:rRNA from 1 species
UACAGAGGGGGCAAGCGUUAUUCGGAAUUAUUGGGCGUAAAGGGCACGCAGGCGGUCUGUGAAGUUUGGAGUGACAGUUGGUGGCUCAACCACCAAAGUGCUUUGAAAACUGAUAGACUUGAGGGCUUCAGAGGGACACGGAAUUCCGGGUGGAGUGGUGAAAUGCGUAGAGAUCCGGAGGAACACCAAAGGCGAAGGCAGUGUCCUGGGGAGUACCUGACGCUCAGGUGCGAAAGCCAGGGGAGCGAACGGG